UUAUGGGGCCAUGAACAUUUGUCUUUGAACACACAACCAUCACUGGAUGUUGGAGAAAACAUCAAUACGUUUUCCAAUAUCAUCUGAAAGCUGCCUGCCUUGUGCUUGGCUGUAUGAUUUUCCCUGAUGGCUGGGACUCAGAUGAAGUAAAGCGGAUGUGUGGAGAAAAGACAGACAAGUACACUCUUGGGGCUUGCUCAGUCCGCUGGGCAUACAUCCUGGCUAUUAUCGGAAUUUUGGAUGCCCUGAUCCUCUCGUUUCUCGCGUUUGUGCUUGGAAAUCGACAAGACAGCUUGAUGGCAGAGGAACUGAAGGCAGAAAACAAAGUUCUGCUAAGCCAAUAUUCUCUAGAAUGAGCACAAAACAAAUCGAACAACAGCUAAAUAAAUUGAAUAACAGCUUUUGUACAUCAACAUCAAGAAGGAAUAUGCUCGAGAGAGAUCAGAGUAUAGAGAUGAAUAUGAACAAGAAUGGAACAUUCACUUGUCAACGCACCUUCUAAUUCUAGAUCAGCAGAGAUGGGAGUGAUUUUCUGGAAAGAGAUGUGAUUAUGGAUUAAACACCAGCUCAUUGGAAACUGUCAUUGGAUGAGAUCAGAAAAUGUUCAUGACAAAUCAUGUUCAGGAAAUAAGGAAGAAGAAUAUAAAUGCUCUAGAGUUAACAUGUAAAAUAUGUAUGUACUGAGGUUUCUAAACUGUCCUUUUUAAAUCAAACUGAAAACAAAAAGCUUUAACCUUUCAACAGAAUUUUUAAAAAGGCAGUUAGUUCUAAAUUAUUCCUAUCUCAAUCACCAAGAGGCUGAUCAAGCAUCAUUUAUUGAGGAAGCAUCUUAGAAAAUGCCUCUGAAUGUUUUUGUAGGAGCCGUGACCUUUGGUUCUUCGUCUCUACCAUUCAUUUACUUCACUGUAUACUUAGUUACAACCGCUCAGUUAUUAAGAGACGUAACGCUUCAAACUUUUUAUCAAGUCUGAGUCCUGUUUAAUCUGUCCAUACAAGUUAUUACUGAGAAAAUUUUUAUGCCAUAUACUAUUACUCCACCAAGCUGUAUAUUACAGGAAGUACAUCUUUACAUCAUAGGUUCCCAAGCGACAUAGAUUUCCCUGUCUUUCAGGAAACAGCAUCAAGGAACUCUGAAAAAUAUAGAAAGUCCAUUUUCAUGGAUGUUCAUGUGUAAUAUUAUAGGCUACUAUCAAAUAAAUACUUUUUUUCUAAUUCUCCCUAGUAUAUGCAUAGGAAUUUAAAAUACUUUAUAAAUAAGUAUCUAAAAUAUCUUCUAUUUUUUUCCUAUUUCAUUGCCAUACAUGUUACCAGAAAUCUAUAUCUUCUAUUUCCCUUACUGACGGGCACUCAUUUUUAUUUUUUUAUAAUCAUUCCAUUAAACAUACUUCUAAAUAAUAGUAAGUGGUACUAACAAAAUAAAUAAUAAUUUAAUAGCCUUAGAAAUAAAUGACUAUAUACUUAUACAGGUUGAAAAAAACUCAGUAGGAAUAAGUUACCUUUUCGUUUACUAAUGUUAGUUUCAAAAAUACUCAGAUUCACUUUAGUUGGCUGACAUCUGGAAGUAGUUAACAACUAACCAGUUGACUUCAACAAUCAUUUGCUCCCAGGCUUCCCCCACCAUCAGCCUCACCGCAUAGCCUGCCAAUAUCCAACAACAGAGAAAUAUUUGACAUUGAAAUAGCCCACUGCCUGAGAAUGAACACAAGCUAACAUGUACAUGCAAGGGUACUUAGUGGAAGCCAAACCAUGUUCUGUACCUGAGCAGCAAACAUCGACGUGUAGAAUGCUUUUAUUCAUAUAUUCAAAAUUAAGAACAAAUUAGUAUAUAUCACUAGAACAUCAGAUGGAGGAUAACACAAGGAGUGAUACAGAUCAGGGUUCACUUCUCUUACCCUCUCUCUGUUAGGACCACGUUCCUAUUUUAGCCAAAUGUUUCUGGUGCAAGCCAUCUUUUCACCAUAAAUGGCAUUAUGUAUCAAAUGGCUAAAAGCAUAUUACAGGUAUGCUCAAAAGAGUAAAAUCCAAUUCACAGAGAUGUGGCUUUUCUUAGGAACCAAAUUAAGGGUAUACUUAAUAUCCACAACUAAAGUAUUAGUCAUUCUGAGGAUUAUUUGUUGCUUUAAGUAUUAGCUCCCUACUGUAUCUGUAACACCCUACUUACUAAAUUUAAUUACACACAACUUUUCAAGAGGUCAUAUUUUAUUUGAAGGGAGGUAUCUGUCUACCUUACCUACAAUAAAAACAGAAGGCAUUGGCUUUCCUUCAUCCAUGCAAACUGCAGAUUCCAUCGGGAGUCCCACAUCACUAACAGUGGUGUUAACAAAACUAAGAAAGUACUUCCUAUCCACAUGCAAAUGUUUUAAACAAGUUUUUGCCAUAAAACCUAAGUGUAAUUUAGCAUACCACAGUGCUCUGAAGAUGGGUCAUUGACGAUGUACCAUUUGUAUAUAGGUAAUACACAUGUAAAUCACUAAACGUUAAUUAAGUCUAAGAAGUAGGUUUUUAUCUUUUUAAAAAACAGCAAAAAAAGUGACUCCCUUUCUCAUUCUGUUCUGUUGUAUUGCGUCUAAAAGUUGUGUGUAAUUUUUUUAAGGUCCAGGAAAUGUAAAGAAAUUUGUUGGAAUACCUGAAUUUCCGUAAAAAAUAAAAAUAAGAUUUUGUUACUUAAAA